rnacentral:rRNA from 1 species
AACGAACGCUGGCGGCAUGCCUAACACAUGCAAGUCGAACGAGACCUUCGGGUCUAGUGUCGCACGGGUGCGUAACGCGUGGGAACCUGCCCUUAGGUUCGGAAUAACUCCCCGAAAGGGGUGCUAAUACCGGAUCAUGUCUUCGGACCAAAGAUUUAUCGCCUUUGGAUGGGCCCGCGUUGGAUUAGCUAGUUGGUAGGGUAAAAGCCUACCAAGGCGACGAUCCAUAGCUGGUCUGAGAGGAUGAUCAGCCACACUGGGACUGAGACACGGCCCAGACUCCUACGGGAGGCAGCAGUGGGGAAUAUUGGACAAUGGGCGAAAGCCUGAUCCAGCAAUGCCGCGUGAGUGAUGAAGGCCUUAGGGUUGUAAAGCUCUUGUACCCGGGAUGAUAAUGACAGUACCGGGAGAAUAAGCUCCGGCUAACUCCGUG